UGGAAUUCCACGUGUAGCGGUGAAAUGCGUAGAGAUGUGGAGGAACACCAGUGGCGAAGGCGACUCUCUGGUCUGUAACUGACGCUGAGGAGCGAAAGCGUGGGGAGCGAACAGGAUUAGAUACCCUGGUAGUCCACGCCGUAAACGAUGAGUGCUAAGUGUUAGAGGGUUUCCGCCCUUUAGUGCUGCAGCAAACGCAUUAAGCACUCCGCCUGGGGAGUACGGUCGCAAGACUGAAACUCAAAGGAAUUGACGGGGGCCCGCACAAGCGGUGGAGCAUGUGGUUUAAUUCGAAGCAACGCGAAGAACCUUACCAGGUCUUGACAUCCCAUGGCAACUCUAGAGAUAGAGCGUUCCCCUUCG
rnacentral:rRNA from 2 species